rnacentral:rRNA from 1 species
ACGGGUGAGUAACACGUGGGUAACCUGCCCAUCAGAAGGGGAUAACACUUGGAAACAGGUGCUAAUACCGUAUAACACUAUUUUCCGCAUGGAAGAAAGUUGAAAGGCGCUUUUGCGUCACUGAUGGAUGGACCCGCGGUGCAUUAGCUAGUUGGUGAGGUAACGGCUCACCAAGGCCACGAUGCAUAGCCGACCUGAGAGGGUGAUCGGCCACACUGGGACUGAGACACGGCCCAGACUCCUACGGGAGGCAGCAGUAGGGAAUCUUCGGCAAUGGACGAAAGUCUGACCGAGCAACGCCGCGUGAGUGAAGAAGGUUUUCGGAUCGUAAAACUCUGUUGUUAGAGAAGAACAAGGAUGAGAGUAGAACGUUCAUCCCUUGACGGUAUCUAACCAGAAAGCCACGGCUAACUACGUGCCAGCAGCCGCGGUAAUACGUAGGUGGCAAGCGUUGUCCGGAUUUAUUGGGCGUAAAGCGAGCGCAGGCGGUUUCUUAAGUCUGAUGUGAAAGCCCCCGGCUCAACCGGGGAGGGUCAUUGGAAACUGGGAGACUUGAGUGCAGAAGAGGAGAGUGGAAUUCCAUGUGUAGCGGUGAAAUGCGUAGAUAUAUGGAGGAACACCAGUGGCGAAGGCGGCUCUCUGGUCUGUAACUGACGCUGAGGCUCGAAAGCGUGGGGAGCGAACAGGAUUAGAUACCCUGGUAGUCCACGCCGUAAA